rnacentral:rRNA from 1 species
AGGAUUCCCUCAGUAAUGGCGAAUGAACAGGGAUCAGCUCAGCAUGGAAAUUGGGGCCUCCGGCCUUGAAUUGUAGUCUUGAGAUGGCAUUGCCAGCGGAGGCGCAGAUGUAAGCCUCUUGGAAAAGAGCAUCAAUGAGGGUGAGAGUCCCGUUUGUCAUCUGCAGUCCCCCGUUCACGGUGUGCUUUCUAAGAGUCACGUUCCUUGGGAUUGGAGCGCAAAUUGGGUGGUAAAUUUCAUCUAAAGCUAAAUAUUGGUUCGAGACCGAUAGCAAACAAGUACCAUGAGGGAAAGGUGAAAAGGACUUUGAAAAGAGAGUUAAAAGUGCCUGAAAUUGCUGAAAGGGAAGCGAAUGGAACCAGUGUUUCUUGGCUAGAUUGUUGCGUGCUAAAGUGAUGGCUCGCUGCUUCAACGCAAGUGUUGCAGUGGGUUUUGAUCUGGACGUGCGCGGUGCUUCUGCCUUGUGUGUCAACGUCGGUUCAGACUCGAGGAAAACUCCAGGGACAUGGAUAAUCGCUCCUGGGUGAUUGAACGUGCCUGGCAGAACUCAUUUCUGAACUGAUUCCUGCAUGUCUGGUCGCAGUGCUUUUCACUGCCUGUGUCUCGUUCGGGGUGCCUUGUGUGCUCUGUGCUGGGCCGGGACGUGGAGCAUCUCCCUGACAUAAGUACGAUGACAAAAUGGUUUUAUUCGACCCGUCUUGAAACACGGACCAAGGA